UACGUAGGGUGCAAGCGUUGUCCGGAAUUAUUGGGCGUAAAGAGUUCGUAGGCGGUCUGUUACGUCGGCUGUGAAAACCUGGGGCUCAACUCCGGACCUGCAGCCGAUACGGGCAGACUAGAGUUCGGCAGGGGAGACUGGAAUUCCUGGUGUAGCGGUGAGAUGCGCAGAUAUCAGGAGGAACACCGGUGGCGAAGGCGGGUCUCUGGGCCGAAACUGACGCUGAGGAGCGAAAGCGUGGGGAGCAAACAGG
rnacentral:rRNA from 1 species